GCGGCCCAGGCAGUCCUCCUGAUAGUUUGGACAAGGAGAUGGUACUGACCUAUUUCAAUUGCACUAAAAGACCAUUUCAAAGAGAGACUGGAGAGGUCAAUGAACCUGAGAUUAGUGUUCCAAUACAACUAUUAUUAUCAAAGGACUUUUGGAGACCGGACGUACCAAUUACGCACCGGUUUGCGUAACAGGACAUUUUCGUGGGAAAUAAUGUGUAAAGUGCAGAAUCAAUGCCCCGUGGAGAGCGAGGAUGAUUCCGAUAUUGACAAACUGUUAGCAGCUCUGACAUCCGCCGAGGUAGAAGAGCUGCAGCGCGAACUGACCGUUAUUGACCCGGAUCCAACUGUGCCAGUCCGGCUACGGCAGAGGAACCAGACAGACAAGCAGCCGUCAAUUAAAUACAAUAGCGGGGCGAUGCUUGACUACUGUGAGCGCGAAACCAAGACACUCAUUCAAAGGGAGCUGUCCUUUGAGGUAUGAUGCCAAUGUCGUUAGUUUUGCGUAAAGGACAGCUUGUAACCAAUAACAAAUACAAUAGUUAGAAGUUGUUUUUGCUGGUUGAACUCUGAAAUGGUGUUAUUACAGUAGUAAUAGUGUAUCCUAGAUGUAUGAACAGCUGUCAAUUGAGUACUUUAAGUUGGCCUACCAAUUUGACACCUUAUUCAAGUGCCCAAGUAUAUCAGGACCCUCACCCUGUCAACCCUGGAUUCCAGACAUUGUGUAGUAAUUUCAGGAUUCAAGACCAGGGAUGAUGAAUACUUUUGUGGGCAAUAUUUCACCCACUAACUUCAAAUAUAGCUGCUGUUAGUGUCUCUACUGGAAAUAAAUCUAUAAUUGUUUGGUGUUUGACAGAAAUAGGAAUACAGACAUACAGUGGGGUCCCAAAAUGAUUGAUUACCCUUGCUAAGAUUAGCAAAAAUGACUAUAAAAUAGUUAACUGAAAUACUGAGCUGUAUUGUACGCAACCCCCCAAAAAGGGGAAUUAUAUUUUAUACUAAUUAAAUUGCUUAGAGAAGAACAUUUUGCUUAACAAGUAAUAUUUUGUUUUUCUCAAAAAGGUAGGGGUCAAAAUUAUUGACACCCCUGUUUUCAAUACCUCACCUUGUGAAGGUAACUGCACUGAAGCCUUUUCCUAAAAUGAGUUUGAGAACACAUUGGGAGGGAUCUUAGGCCAUUCCUCCAUACAGAAUCCUUCCAGAUCCUUGGCCAAGCACACCAGUGGUGGGUUUGGUGUCAAAAUGAGAGUGCAUAAGCAGAAAAGAACCCCAUACCUAAUGUAAAAUAUGGUGGUGGGUCUUUGAUGUUAUGGGGCUAUUUUGAAUCCACUGGUAUUUGUUAAGGUCAACAGCAUCAUGAACUUUACCCAGUACCAGGACAUGUUUUGCCCAAAACCUGGUUGCCUCGGCCAGGAGGCUGAAAUUUGGCCGCAAGUAGAUCUUCCAACAAGACAAUAACCCCAAGCACACAUCAAAAUCCUCAGAAAUUGUUAAUUGGCCACAAAAUCAAAAUGUUGCAAUGGCUAUCAGUCUCCGGACUUGAACCCCAUUGAAAACCUGUGGAUUGAAUUGAAGAGUGCAGACUAAUAUCAAUGAUCUGGAAAGGAUUCUGCAUGGAGGAAUGGUCUAAGAUCCCUCCCAACUCAUAAAACAUUUUUUAAAGGCUCAGUGCCGUUAUCCUCGCAAGGUGAAAGGCAUUGAAAACAGUCAUUUUGAACCCUACCUAUUUUUAUGAGUAAAAAAUUACAUGUUCAUCAAAAUCUUUCUCUGAACAAUUGUAUUAGUGUAAAAUAUAAAUAUGACAUAUUACACAAGUCUCAGAUCUUGACUGUGACGAUACCAGUGUCCUAUUUUGUAAAUUAAGUUUAUUUUUUUCAGAUGAUACAAUAACAUCCUAAUGAUUAAUAAGCUCACUGUCUAAGCUUAUCUUUAUCUUUAGAGACCCAGAGUAUGUUGACACUCGGCUGUUGGAUAAAGGCUCCAACAGGUUGCAAGUAAGGAAUCGAGAGCCAUGUUGAAACAGCUGCGUGUAUAGAGACUAUAGAGAAGUCUUGUGAACGGGCAAAAUGUCACCUACACACUGGGGCAUCAUAAGUCUGAGGAGUUGCUAGGCAGCCCCAUUUUUUCUUUUUAAAUCCUUAACAAAUGAACCCCUGAGCCAUAAAGAGAACAUGUAUAAAUAGCAGGAUAUGUGAUUCACACUGUAUUCAAAUGUUAACCAAUUAUGUAGCAGUAGUAUAGUUAUGAAUACUUAAUUUCCAUCCUACAAAGCUGUACUUGGCCAUCUGUAGGGUGUUUGCAUGUCGUCUUGUUUUCACAAAGCCCCUUGAGAUCUGGAGAAGGUUUUGAUGAACAAGGUAAAAUACAGGCUCAUGGAAUAAUGAGUCUGGUUAAUGCUGGUUCCAAUUCUAAGACGAAUGAAAUUCCAGAGCAGAACGCUCUGACCCAUACUGCCUUUUAAGGAAACAUCUGCCAGAGUUACUUACACAGUGGCUCGCAGAUCCCUACCGACGCAUCGCCCUGUAAGGGAUGAGAAAAUCCUGAUUGCUAUAUGCAAGAUAUACAGUUUUACAGAGGGUGCUCGUAGAGGCAAAGUUUCAUAGGUUUUACAUAGGCUAUGUCCUGACUUAUGGACAUUCCAGAAGCAUUCAGAAAAUAUAUGAAAUGAACAUACAGUACAUUAUUAAAUAAUGAUUAAUCUAAUACUGCAUUUCAUACUUGUAUGAUUCAUGCAACUAACUUUUCUUAAAUACUUCAUACUUAAUGAGCCAACAACUGACAGAGUGAAAUGGGAAUGCCUGAAGAAGAUGGGGAAGAGCUGUGCUAGUUUCUUCUACUUCAAGUCAGAUGACCCGGAUCUCAUAGAACAACACGUCUCUGACCAGCGUCAUCCUUGACUCCAACCACCUCACUGGCAAGGGAAUUUUGGCCGUAGUACACGCCUUAGAGAAAAAUAUAACCGUCACUGAGCUGCGCUUCCACAACCAGUGGAGACAAGACAGAGACGGAGAUGGCCAAUGCGUUGAGAAACAACACCAGGUUGAUGAAGCUGGGCUACGGCUUUGAGCUGGCCGGCCCAAGGAUGACCAUGAACGUCAUCCUGAGUCGGAACAUGGACUUGCAGCGUAUGAUCUCUGUAAUUGCAAACAAAGGUUGAUGUUCCAGAGCUGCUUCAGUAAUGGGCAGGGGAUCACAGGAAGAAGAAGUUGGACUUGAUACAGAAACAGAACUGCAUUUGUCUUAUAGUAGUACCUGGGGUGAAGCCUUGCUUCCGUUGUUGCUGCUGAGAUAUGGAGAGAUAUCUAAUGCAGUGGGUACUGUGAGUCAGAAGGUGGUGUUGGUGAAACCACCUUAGGCUACACUGUUAGGCCUGUUGACUUCCGUCUCCCUAGGUUGAAUCUCUCCCUCCUUUUCUCCUUAGAUGUUCAUAUUUGGUCAUUGCAUUGAAGACACAGUAUGACGUAAGAAUAAUUUCUAAUAAUUUUUUAAUUACUGGAUGAUGGUCAGUUGGAUGUUCUGCUCUUUCAUGUGAGGUUUUGUCCAGCUAAGAGGUGGGAGAAUGGGGGAGUUGCACAGCGGAAACAGAAAAGUUCAAAGGGGAAAACAACUGAAAGGAAAGGCUUACACAUUGCAAGUCACCAUAUUUUUUGUAUUUUUAGACAAUCAAGUAGCCGUAAGAGGAAUGAACAAAGACAUUUUUUAAACGUUUUUUUUAAAGAUCAUUUUCCAGUGUCAUGAUUAAAGGAUAUUAUAUACAGAACAAAACUAUAAACCCAACAUGCAACAAUUAUUUUUUAUUUUUUAAAAAUUUUAUUACCCCCUUUUCUCCUUAAUUUUGUGAUAUCCAAUUGGUAGUUAGUCUUGUCCCAUGGCUGCAACUCCCCUACGGACUCAGAAGAGGACAAGGUCGAGAGAGUUGUGUGACAAACUGCACAUUUUAGAGUGUCCUUUUAUUGUUCCCAGCACAAGGUGCACCUGUGUAAUUAUCAUGCUGUUUCAUCAGCCUCUUGAUAUGCCACAUCUGUCAGGUGGAUGGAUUAUCUUGGCAAAUGAGAAAGGCUCACUAACAGUGAUAUAAACUCAUUUCUACACAACGUUUGAGAGAAAUAUGCUUUUUGUGCAUAUGGAAAAAAAUCUGAGAUCUUUUAUUUCAGCUCAUGAAACAUUAGACCAACACUUUACAUGUUGCGUUUAUAUUUUUGUUCAGUAUAGCUAAAUAAAACAUUUAAGCAAACACAUAGCUAGUAUGCAACACACAACUUGUAUCUGAAGUGUGCGUAGGUUCUUAAUCUGGUCAAUGUGUAAUAUAAUAGCAGUUAAUCGCUAUUAGUUGUCUUUCGGGAUGGCAGUUGCUUACAACAUGAAAGUAUGAGGGACUUCCCUAUAGAUGGCAGGAGACCCCUUGACCUUUGCAAACAUUUCACUGUGAUAGAUUGUGUCCUGAGAGGGAGGGAAUAUAUUUUGAGAAUGCUUUUGAGAAUGUUGUGUCGUUUAGAAUUGACUCAUGAAGGGUACAUACUGUAUCAUACAGAUGUUUUAUGACAUUAAAAUAUACCAAGAAAAGUAAAGAUUUUUAACUACUAGUAGAGGACAGUAAAGCACUGCGGUUGACCGGUCAGGCCACAGGUGUUACCUGUUGUGUUCAAGUGCAAAUUCUAAAAUGUAUUUACAGAACCAAACAAAACACAUUCAUAUGUCUGGUUUCGAGAGUGCAUCUAAUAGCUAAUAACCAGGUCAUUUAUUUCCUCCAGAUGAACAAUUAUGGGAUAUUUCGUCUGUCUUUGAUGUCUCCGUCUGCCUCAUAGGCUUUUGAUUUAACAAAAGUAGCAUUUGUCUGUAGCACUUCCUUCCUGAAACACUGCAAUCAGUUUAUUUUUUCACUUCCUGUAAUAAGGCAAAAACAGCCCAAAGCCACUGCAAGUGAUGCUGCUGGGUAGAGACUGAUAUAGUGACAGUAGGAUCAUUUGAGAGAAAAGGGGAUCUGGUGAAAUAAGAAAAACAUUUAAACAUGAAAUUCUAUCUGAUGAUUCUCCUUUACUUGCCAGGUGAGUUUUAACACAAACCAUUUUUGUUGUUGUUGAUUUGUUGUUGUUGAUUACAAUUGCAGACCAUUUUUGUUGUUGAUUAUUUUCUUUGUGAAAGAGACUCCUGCAUAGUGCAAAUUGUAUAGAAUAUACUUUUGCCGAACAAUUCCACAUAGUUUUUGUUUAUUUCACGUUUCAACUAUUAUUUGUUAUUAUGAUAAAGAAUAACAUUGUCUUCUCUUUUAUCAAGUUUUAAGCUGUUAUGCAAAAAGGAGCAAAAUUGGAGAGCAUGGAAAUGAAGGUGGAUCUUUAGACAUUCAGUGUUCAUAUCCGGAUGGAUAUCAAUAUAAGCCCAAAUAUUUGUGUCGCCACCCCUGUUCCUACAGUGACGUUCUCAUCAGAAGUGUGAAAGCGGACACAUUUGUCACAGUAGGAAGAUUUUCUGUGUAUGACAAUGUCCAUGGACAUACUUUCAUUGCCACCAUCAGAAACCUGAAAUUACAGGACUCUGGACUUUACUAUUGUGGACUUGAUCAGUGGGGAAGAGAUGUUUUAACAAAAGUAGAUGUCUCUGUGAGUAAAGGUAUGCAUAUUGUUUUGCUUUGAUCCCAUUGGAUUGUCUUUGAAUGCACAAAAAUCAUACUCGGUCUACCCUCUACUGUUUCUACCCACAGCUCCAUUGGUCACUUCACUGUUUACACCUGAUAGGAAGGACACCACACAAACAAACAGAUAUGUGUCCCCAGAGGUCCCCACAUUUACGCAGGUUGAUAUAACUUUAAAUAGCUUAAAAAAUAAGCUCCUAUUGUACAAUUAUUUUUUUAUUCUAAUAAAUGUUCCAUUUAUCUUCUG